rnacentral:lncRNA from 1 species
GACAAUGGUGAUGAAGACGAAGCUUGCGCCAAUUUUGUGACGCAUGGCCAAAUUUGCAUCAACUAGGUUGUUGUUGAUGUUCCUGUUGUCAUUCAUCGUUCUAGGUAAUUUUUUUUUAUUAUUUUUAAGAAAAAUCUUUCUUCUAUGUCUAAGGGAAAAGUUAACAUUAUUAGGCAUUUUCCUUAUUAUCAUUAAUAAAAUACAAUUUAAUUCAUCCACAUCUAUGAUGUUUUAUUUUUACUUUUUGCUU